UCCAGGAUAGCUCAGUUGGCAGAACGUGAGAUUCUUAAUCUUGGGUUUGUGUGUUCAAACCCCACGUUGGGUGAAA